UACGUAGGUGGCGAGCGUUGUCCGGAUUUACUGGGCGUAAAGAGCGCGCAGGCGGUCGUACAAGUCGCGUGUGAAAGCCCCCGGCUCAACUGGGGAGGGUCACGCGAUACUGUUCGACUCGAAGGCAGGAGAGGGAAGUGGAAUUCCCGGUGUAGUGGUGAAAUGCGUAGAUAUCGGGAGGAACACCAGUGGCGAAGGCGACUACCUGGCCUGUUCUUGACGCUGAGGUGCGAAAGCGUGGGGAGCAAACAGGG
rnacentral:rRNA from 1 species